CACGUAGGGUGCGAGCGUUUGUCCGGAAUUAUUGGGCGUAAAGAGCUCGUAGGCGGUCCGUCACGUCGGAUGUGAAAUUCCAGGGCUCAACCCUGGACCUGCAUUCGAUACGGGCGGACUAGAGUUCGGUAGGGGAGACUGGAAUUCCUGGUGUAGCGGUGAAAUGCGCAGAUAUCAAGGAGGAACACCGGUGGCGAAGGCGGGUCUCUGGGCCGAUACUGACGCUGAGGAGCGAAAGCAUGGGGGAGCGAACAGG
rnacentral:rRNA from 1 species